AUCAAGACUGGUCACGAUCCUUUCGAGAGGACCAGCACUUAUUCACUCGCAAAAAGGUUUCGUGUUUGUGGCAGCUUUCUACACCUUUGUACUGGCAGAUUUGUAAGACUGGAAGUUGUUUCAUUGUUGAGAGAGAUGGAUAUGGUGUUUUGUUAGAAAAUAUGUCCACUUUAAUCUUCCAGGAGUUGGAGAUGUGACUUGAUGACAGAAACGAAUUAGUAAUUUUUUGUUGAUGACAGGAAAAAAAUCGACAGCCUGCAUACUGACAUGAGCAUGGUCAAGGAAUUGGAUAUGAUGAGUCAGUAAAGAUUACAUGAGAUUGAAGAGAGCACAACAGGAAUUCACAGGAGAUACUCCUUGCUAAUUUGAGCAUUAUAGAAUAUCCACACAUACGACACCAAGAAUCAAACUAUGCAGGACCGAUUCUUCAUGGCGAACGAGAAAUAUGAUCGAUGUUAAACAUUUAAUUCCGGAAUUACAUGUGUAUGGACACUAAAGUGACAUUUACCAUAGAAACUGUCUGGCCACUGAGUGGGGGAGAAGUGUAGCGAUUUUGUGUGGACUCAAACUAUCCAGUAUAUUGAAGUGAAACAUGGUGUUUGUGAUUGGACUAACUAUAAAACUACACUUCUUCCAA